CAGGGCUGUGCCCAGGGCUCACCUGGCUCUGCAGGGCUCCCCGAGCAGGGGACACCAGGUGGUGCAAAGGCACCGUGCUGGAUCCGGUGCCAUCUGCCCUCCUGGCCAUGGGCACGGAGCCUCUUGGAUGUGCCAGGGAGUCCUGGCUGCCAGAGCAAUCCCUCGCUGCUGCUGACAGCUUGUAGGAGGGACAGGACUGUGUCCAGAUGGCCCCAGAUUUUGAGGAGCUGCACUGAGAGAUGGAAGCUGAACUCACCCCUCCCUGAGAGUGCUUUCUUCUCCCAUAUUCCCCAUUUCCUGCUCCUGUCAUCUGCCAUCCCUGACAGCACCAGCACUGGCAGUGCCGCCCCAUCCCCAGGCAGGCUGGCAACCAUCCCCACCUUCCCCAACCUGCCCUGCCUGCCACGUUCCCCCACCUCCCUGCUGAGGGCCAGCCUGGGCUGCUGGGUGCCCCUUUCUGUGUGCCCCUUUCUGGGUAACCCCUUUCUGUGUGUCCCUUUCUGUGUGCCCCUUUUCGGGUGCCCCUUUCUGUGUGCCCUUUCUGGGUGCCCCUCUCUGUGCACCCCUCUCUGUGUGCCCCUUUCCGUGUGCUCCUUUCUGUGUGUCCCUUUCUGUGUGCCCCUUUCAGUGUGCCCCUUUCUAGAUGCCCCUUUCUGGAUGCCCCUUUCUGUGUGUCCCUUUCUGUGUGCUCCUUUCUGUGCACCCCUCUCUGUGUGUCCCUUUUUGGGUCCCCCUUUCUGGGUGUCCCUUUUUGUGUGCUCCUUUCUGUGUCUCCCUCCUCACCACAGCCUCCUGUCUGUCUGCCCAUCCCAAAAACCAAGUGACAAAUCCCUUUUCCCACCAUGCUGUGCCUAUCCUCCAGAGAGACCCUUUAAGCUGCUUUUUUUCCAUCCUUCGGCAAGAUCAUACUUCUUACCCUCCCUUCCCAAAUGCCCAUCUUCCUUCUUUCACAUAUUUCAUUAUUUCUUACAAAAUCUCAGUUUCUUUUUCAUCAUCUUGGAUCCUCUGUUCAGCCAAAAUUUGUACAACUGCCUCUUUUCCUCCAUUCCCCCAAUCCUCCCUUCACGGCAUUCCUGCAUCAGAGUCCUUCUUUCCAAUCACUUGAGAAAUUAUACUGAGGUGACAGCUUUUAAAAACAUUGCCAAGACCAUAAUGGAUAUUAUGGUCAAAUGUAGCAGAAAAUCUGUCUCUUAA
rnacentral:lncRNA from 1 species